UAACAGGAUUCCCCUAGUAACUGCGAGUGAAGCGGGAAAAGCUCAAAUUUAAAAUCUGGCAGUCUCUGGCUGUCCGAGUUGUAAUCUAGAGAAGUAAUGCCCGUGCUGGACCGUGUAUAAGUCUCCUGGGAUGGGGCGUCAUAGAGGGUGAGAAUCCCGUCUUUGACACGGACUGCCAGUGCAUUGUGGUAUGCUCUCAAAGAGUCGAGUUGUUUGGGAAUGCAGCUCAAAAUGGGUGGUAAAUUCCAUCUAAAGCUAAAUAUUGGCGAGAGACCGAUAGCGAACAAGUACCGUGAGGGAAAGAUGAAAAGAACUUUGGAAAGAGAGUUAAACAGUACGUGAAAUUGCUGAAAGGGAAACGCUUGAAGUCAGUCGCGUUGGCCGGGGAUCAGCCUUGCUUUUGCAUGGUGUACUUUCUGGUUGACGGGUCAGCAUCAAUUUUGACCACUGGAAAAGGUUCAAGGGAAUGUGGCAGCUUCGGCUGUGUUAUAGCCCCUGUUCACAUACAGUGAUUGGGAUUGAGGAACUCAGCACGCCGCANGGCCGGGUUUCGACCACGCUCGUGCUUAGGAUGCUGGCAUAAUGGCUUUAAGCGACCCGUCUUGAAACACGGACCAAGGAGUCUAACAUGCCUGCGAGUAUUUGGGUGGAAAACCCAAGUGCGCAAUGAAGUGAAAGUUGA
rnacentral:rRNA from 1 species